GGUGUGAUGGCCAAAGGGUGAAGGCCUUGGACUCAAAAUCCGAUAGGGAUCCCCUGUGCAGAUUUGAAUCCUGCUCACAGCG
rnacentral:tRNA from 1 species